rfam:Stegodyphus mimosarum contig17481, whole genome shotgun sequence.
AAAAAGGCCCUUUUCAGGGCCAACAUAUAACAUAAAAGAAAUGCAUU